AGCAGCCGCGGUAAUUCCAGCUCCAAUAGCGUAUAUUAAAGUUGUUGCAGUUAAAAAGCUCGUAGUUGAAUUUCGGGAUUAGUACGUUGGUCGUGCCUUCGGUACGUACUGGUGUUACUGGUUCCUACCUUCUGACGAACCAUCAUGUCAUUAAUUUGGUGUGGCGGGGAAUCAGGACUGUUACUUUGAAAAAAUUAGAGUGUUUAAAGCAGGCUCGCGCUUGAAUACAUUAGCAUGGAAUAAUGAAAUAGGACGUUGACCCUAUUUUGUUGGUUUCUAGGAUUGACGUAAUGAUUAAUAGGGAUAGUUGGGGGCAUUAGUAUUCAAUUGUCAGAGGUGAAAUUCUUGGAUUUAUUGAAGACUAACUACUGCGAAAGCAUUUGCCAAGGAUGUUUUCAUUAAUCAAGAACGAAAGUUAGGGGAUCGAGGACGAUCAGAUACCGUCGUAGUCUUAACCAUAAACUAUGCCGACUAGGGAUCGGAUGAUGUUAAUUUUUUAAUGACUCA
rnacentral:rRNA from 1 species